AGAAACAUAGGAAAAGGGCUUUCACAUGCAUUAUUUUACAACCUUUCAAAAAGCGAGGUAAGAUAUUUUUGUGCAAGUGGUUUGUAUCCAUAUACUUAUAUAUUGAGUUAAAUAGGAAUGAAUUAUCAGUGGACCUUCGGGUUCUUUAGAAAGAGAUGUGAUAUCCUUCGGGAAUUUAAGAUGAUCUUAGAUGGGUGUAUUGUUUGGUCACCGAUAUAUUCCAUUAGAGAAAAGUGGUAUGAAAUGCACAAUUUAUUGUUAUAUGAUUGUGUUUGAAUCUGCAUGUAUAUUACUAGAUAUUUUUAAAAUAUUCAGU
rnacentral:lncRNA from 1 species